rnacentral:rRNA from 1 species
UACGUAGGCAGCAAGCGUUGUUCGGAAUUACUGGGCGUAAAGAGCUCGUAGGUGGUUUGUCGCGUUGUUCGUGAAAACUCACAGCUCAACUGUGGGCGUGCGGGCGAUACGGGCAGACUGGAGUACUGCAGGGGAGACUGGAAUUCCUGGUGUAGCGGUGGAAUGCGCAGAUAUCAGGAGGAACACCGGUGGCGAAGGCGGGUCUCUGGGCAGUAACUGACGCUGGGGAGCGAAAGCGUGGGGAGCGAACAGG